rnacentral:lncRNA from 1 species
AUAUUUUCUACAGUUUAAAUCUUAGGUCAUAAGGUUUAAAGGAGGAAGCUUUGGAGAAGAUUUGUGCUAGCAAACUCUUACAGGACCGAAUACCAUGUUGUACUCAUUUUCACUCGGUAAGGCUUCCCUUGUGCCAUCCAUACUAUCAUCCUUUUCCACUAUAGAUGAGUUUUUCUUGGAUGGUUUUCUUUAUGAUAAAUUACUAAUU